AAUGAUGUCACGUUUCUCCAGGUUCCAAAGACAAACCUUGUCUCUGCGUCAUCUAUGCCCCCUGAGUCACAAGAGAAUGUUGUAGAUCCUGCACCUCAACUAAAGGGAACUAAGGAUGAAGAACUUACAAAACUACCCCCAGUACCAUCCUCAGUCAUAACACCACCAGCAAUCAUCUCCAAAGAAGCAAUUAUCCAGGCCGAAUCCCAGAAGACCUUACAGAACAGCAAGGCUAAUUCAAAAGGAGCCUAAGGACCCCUUGAAGAUGGAGCUCACUCUCUGCAGUCAUUGUCCCCUCAGCAGUGGCAUCCAUGAAGGAAUUCUAGCUAACACUGUCUGGCUUGAGAUAAAGGAUCAGCCAUUAAGUCGUUGGAGGCCUCGUGACCAUUCCAGAUGUGUAAGCACUGACACCAAGUUCAGGCCAUGUAGAGAAGCUUAAUUGUGUGGUCUAUUUCUACUGUAUAAUGUGUCAUCCUACUAAACUUUGAGUAAAGUCCACUCCCAUGUUGUUUUUGAA